GGGGGACAUGGCAUUCUCUAACUCCCUUGGUAGUAAUAUCUUUGAUGUGCUUCUGGGACUUGGGUUUCCUUGGUUCCUGCGGACUCUGGUGGUCGACUACGGAUCAGAGGUGUUCAUCAACAGUAAAGGCCUGGUGUAUUCAGUCAUUCUGCUGUUGGGUUCAGUGUUUCUCACUGUCCUGAGUGUUCAUCUGAACCGUUGGUGGUUGGACCGCAGACUGGGUCUCUGUUUAAUGAUGCUCUAUGCCAUCUUCCUACUCUGCUCAGUCGGCAAGGUUCCAACACAUUUUAGUAUGAUUAUGAUACUAUUUGACGUGAAAUUUUCACUUGUUGACCAGUUGUAUGUGUACGGGUAUUUAGGGUUCAUUUGCAUUUCUAAGACAUAGUUAUGAACAGUUAUAUUGUUGGGAAACCUCACAUUUGAUAUUUGAUACACAUUGCAAACUGGAUCUUUUACAUAGUUUUAUACAGAAAAAUGUGAUAUUCCAAGAUUACUAUUUGAGAACAUGCACUUCACACAAUGAAUUUAUAAUGUAUUGAAUAUAUCUACAUUUUACAGUUACGUCAUGACAAUGAGGAAUCAUAUUCUUUAGUGUGAAAGUACUAAAGGCCCAGUGAAGUCAAAAAUAUGUUUUAUAUAUAUUUCCACACUAUGAGGAUGGAAUAACACUGUGAAAUUGUGAAAACAAUGAUAAUGCCCUUUUAGUGUAAGAGCGGUUUGAAAAGACCGCCUGAGAUUUCAGC